UGCAAAGAAACAUUAGUGGAUGAGGCGAGGCUGUGUGGUAGUGUCAGCGGGGGCCCACUCGGGAGCCUGCCUCCUCCAUCGAGUCAGCUGUGCGACUUUGCCAUCUCUGAAUAUGCCUGCUCUUCGGAUGCGUC